rnacentral:rRNA from 1 species
UACGGGGGGUGCAAGCGUUGUUCGGAAUCAUUGGGCGUAAAGCGCGCGCAGGCGGCUUGGUAAGUCAGAUGUGAAAUCCCUGGGCUUAACCCAGGAAGUGCAUUUGAUACUGCCUCGCUAGAGUACGGGAGAGGAAAGUGGAAUUCCUGGUGUAGAGGUGAAAUUCGUAGAUAUCAGGAGGAACACCGGUGGCGAAGGCGACUUUCUGGCCCGAUACUGACGCUCAGGCGCGAAAGCGUGGGGAG